CUAGCACACAGCUGCUUCUGGAAAAUUCUGCACCCUGCCCUACUAAACCACCAGGCAUGACAUGAAUAACAAGAAUGGCCUAGCCGUCAACAGCGGAUACUUUUUCUUUUGACGUGGGCCUAACAGACUGGUACAAAUGCCCUGGUCUUGCACAUAGUGGAAAAGUCAACAAUGAAGGGGACACCGGGGCACAAUGUGGAAAUGAAAUCCCGGGUUUAGAAAGCUUUGUCUGGACAAGGACGCAGUUGACACAGACCCUGAGGGCUUUGGAAAAGGCUGUGUAACAAAAUGCCAACUGAUGUGUUUUGAUGGGGUUACUUGUUCACCAGCCAGUCACUAAUUGGAGAGUAAGAACCCACUAAAGAGCUUUUGCAAAUUUCCUUUCCGAGCUGCAUGUGUCGCUUAUGCCCUUAUGCGAAGACGGCAGCAGCAAAACAAAGCCAGCACGUACUAGCUGCUAUGUGUUGCUAUGUUUCUAACAUGAUCAGUCAACACUGGCCCCGGGACUAAGUACAGCCUUACCAGCAGUGUCUGAGCGUUGCCCUGCAGAUGAGAUAAUGCUAGCCCUUAUCCGUCCGUGAGGUUGUUAGCCAUGCACAGCCCACCCUGGUGUUGACAUUUGCCCAACCUGUCUAAACACAUAGGGCCAUGGAGACUCCUCUCAGGCUCUCUGUAUCCAUGGCUGAUAAAGAGUUGCUCAUGUGAUCAGCACUCAACGGCAAAGGGCCACUCUCCGUCCCAACUCCGGCUCCAGUCCUCCGCAGACCCACACAGAGAGAGUCUGUUACCAGAGAAACAAAGGCUGGGGUGGCCAGGAGUCUGCAGCCAUGCCCUGUACACUGAACAUGGCCUGAGCUACGCAGAGCCACAGCUCCCCCUACAGGUCACACUACAAAAGACAACAACAAUCAGGAAGUCAUUCCCGGACACUUGGAAAUUAGAUGUACGGUGGCUACAUUGAAGACAGGUGACGAGGAGACACACACACACACAAGUGAAGUGAUUUUACUGUCUGGAUGGAAAGCGGAGCUGUUAUUAAUUUGGCACCUGUUGAGGAUACGUGUGUCUGUGUGUAUGUGUGUGUGCUAGUGUCUUUGUGUGUGUGUGUAUAUACAAUAUAGAGAGUGCAAAACUUUUAGGCAACAUUAGAUGUUUGGACUUUUAUCCAUAAUGCAAUACCAUCAGCCACCACAGUGCCCUGAUCUCAACAUCCUGGAGUCAGUGUUCAUGACUGGAAGAGCAACAAGAGAGAUCUUUGGAUGCUCUGGACAGAAAACUGGGAGA